rnacentral:lncRNA from 1 species
ACAAGAAAUCUCGUCCCGAGAUUUAAGAGGUAGUGAAAGGGGGAAGGUUUGGUAACGAAUCUAGCGGGUCUUCUCAUCCUGGCAUGCUCUUCUCGAAGAGGCCGGUCCAAUACAUUGAUGUCUUCAUUUCUCGGCUUCAGGUCAUCAUGAUGAAAUCGACGUCCUUUCUUUAGGAACUCCAUCAUACUUAUGAAAGAAUAAAGGGUUGGCAUUCUGGGAGAACAGACGUCGGCAAGGUUGACUAUCGGGUCGACAACAUCGAGGAAGGUGGCGGAAAGUAAAUCUCGAAUUGAAUCUUAAGAAAAUAUCGAGAGCAAAGUAAGGAGGUAACCUGGGAAGUUUCGAGCAGGCAGGCAAUCGUUCGAUGCCUGUUAUAGGGCGUGAGAGGGUCAAAACAACGGGAAUAAGUAUUGUGUCCGAUAUCAGACCUGAAGGUGGCUCGUGAAUUACAUACGAGGCCACGCGCGAGGAACAACCUUGGGAACAGGGGGUGUACAUGAGAGUCGGGUUUCGAUCAUGUGGAAUUGUGGGUUAUGGGCCCACCAUGUGGGUUAAAAGUAGGAAGGGUGACGACAUCUUGCAUGAUAAUGUAAGCAAGGCAUGUCAGAGGAUAGCCUGUCAGUUAUGUCGGCAACAAUGCCGGUACCAAGGGCGAGAGACGAAGAGAACCAUUUUCUUGCUCGUUGAACGAGGAGGACCAAUAGGCAAGGUUCUCGUCCAUUGGUGGUUAAUGAAAUGUUAUUAACAAUAGAAACAUGGUCUUACUAUCAGAGUGGUACAACGAGGUGCUUACCUAAGCAGGGAAUUACCACUGCUCAGUUAAGUAGAUUACAAGAAAGUUUGAACAAAUCAAUGGAAAGGAAAAUGUGUUUAAACACAUAUUUUAGGGGUAUAUCCUUCCCAAGGACAAGCAGAGCAUGAUAGCCAUGACAGGAUAUAACGUAGAAAACUCUUUAGGUAAGGGGAGAGAGAUUUCAUGGCAUUACCCAUACAACGGUGUUUGGAGAAUUGAGCAGGAAACAUUUAGCAUUGGGCUUUAAAUGUUCUUGUUGAAAAUCGGAGUACCAUAGACAUGUUUCGAGAUAGCAUUGACAUAGUCUUCAAGCAAAGGUCAUACUUUGGAUACACCAAGGAUUCAUCAGGAACAACUUACAGAAUAAGUCUUGCAAUUUCCUCAUGGAAGAAUGCAUAACCUUGCUAAUAAGAAAACUAUAACAAUAGGUCCUCCGGCCAGGUGUGCUGGCAUGACAUCACCUUACCAGGUCAUAUGAGGAUCAAUGUUAUAAAUCUUGAAAGUAUGUUCCAACCAUCAUAUCUGACCGAGAUUCAGAUCUGAUCGGUGUUAGGAAACCUCAGACUCAAGAUGCCUGAGAAGAAAAGGUGCAAGACAAAUUGACGAGACGACAUUGUAAGAUUCUCGGGAAUUGAACUAUGGAAGCAAGUUCCGAAUCAUGAGUUCAUUAUUAAAUCAAGGAUAGAAUGAGGAGGUGGCUGAUGGAAUCAGCGACAAUUCAUCGAGAUUAACAAAAGAUGGAUUUCCACAAUUAAGUGAACGAGGAGAUAACAUUUGUCAGAUCAAAUGAUAUAAGGAAGUAUGCUCACGGAAAACAUACACAAUUAAACAUUGGUUGAAAGGUGCGCCAAAAAUAUGGGUUGGGUUGCACGACCAAUGUUAGAAUGGUGAUUCAAUAAUCAAUAGUCUAAGAACGAACGGCCGACCAUUAACUUCAAAGCAAUAGGGUUGCUAGAAGUGCAGAAUCCAAACAACACCGUUCACCUGUUGGUAUCCCGGUUAGAUCCAACACGGGGACCAAGAAAGAAUGGUGAUGGUGAUAAGUAUUACCUGUAUCAAGAAUUCUUAGGAGGUGGUGAAAUUCUCACGACAUUCUUGACAUAAAAGAUGGUAAUACUCCAAGGUAUCGAAGAAUAAUUGCUGGAUAGCACGGGUCUCCAGGUAUAACACAAAACACGAACAAGUUUGUGUUGGAGGGAAAGCAAUAAUGUUGUCGGUGAUAACACAAAUCAUCGGGGGACAAGGAUGGUUACAUGUCAUCAUCCAUUUGGUUGAUAUUCUAGAAGGAAUCAAAAUGUUGUUUGAUGACCACGACAAAUUUAGUUGAGAGGCUCCACGAAGAUGUAAUCGAUCGGUGAUGACAUCAAGUGAAAGGAAUGAUGAAGCGAAUGGUUAUUGGAACCAUGGGUAUGACACAAACUCGAAAUCAAGUUUGCUGUUCAGGGAGAAAUGAUGUGAUGAGGAAAAUCGACAUAAGCUUAGAUCAUCGUCGAGAAUUGUGCUCCGUGAAGAAGGACCAGGUAGCACAGUUAAAAUUUAGCACAAUGAUGAUAUAGCCGAUCAGGCUAGGAAUGACUUAAAUGAUUAUUAACUCAUAAGCAACAACAUUUACUUAAUAGUUAUUGAAUCAGAGUGCGUACUCGAUUCACUAUUCGGUGUUCUCGGUUGAUGACAACCCAGAACCUAGGAACAAUUGGAUCCGGCGAGUGAUAAUAGUUUAUGAAGAACCCAUAAGAAGUUAUGAUGUCCCAUGAUAUUCCCGAGAUACCAGGGUGUAAUACUCGACGGUAGAUCAAAGUAAAGGUUGGACUGGUGUAUUGGUCCACACAAGACAAGUGCUUAAACUUGCACGAGAAAUGGUAUUUAAAGGAGAACAUGGUCGGAAUCCACAAUCAUAAAGGAUCGAACCAUGGAUACAAGAUGAGCUUAUAACAAGGGGUAAUUAUUUUUACGAGCAGCUUCCAUGAUAAGUUAUACAUCGUGUCCCUGGGCAUGAACGCAAGGUUCAAGGUCGACUCCCACUUCUUCAAUGUAUAACCUUCCAUUCACUUUUCGCUUUGAUAAAGGCCUUAGUGUUGAAAGUUUUACCUGGUGAAAUACCAGAUGAGUAUGACUCGUGAAAACUCCCGAGUUCACACAUAUAAAGGAAGGCAUCGGAUCAACCCGUUAGGGUAUCGUGGAAAAAUAUAACACAAUCUUCAAGAGUAGAUAUCACCAGCUCGAAAGCAGAGCAUGGUUGGCAAAAGGAGAGGAUACAAUUUACCAAAGGCAUUAUGUAUCGGAGAAAGAACUCACAAGGUGAUUAAUUAUGAAGGACACUGUCGGAUAACAAUCCAACAGUGGAUAUGGCGAUCCACAAUGGAGCUGAUGUGAGUAUCAAUACCCAAUCAGAGGAAGAAAGAAUGCAAAUGCAUCGAUUUAUAGAACAUUUGAAUAAUUCAACAUCUAAACAGCAUAGUAAUUAUGAUUUUCAAUUCAAGGGAUCAGGAGCAAAAGCUCUGAUCAAGGAUGGAUAAGUCAACUAGACUUAGGGGUAAGAUCGAUGGCAAUCUGAUUGGCCAAGAACCAGCUCAUGUUCGAAAGACGUCUGAGCCGGAAGGUAAUUUAUAAUGAUCAACUGAUGAUUGCGUGCAUUCACACACAUAUAGAAUCAACGGACUUAAAAUGAUAGUGACAAAGGAUGCCAAUAGGAUUACUAGACUUAUUGGAUUAACCAAAAUGUAAGCAAGGAAGAAUUUCAAGAGCAAUAGGCUCCUGAGGAUUUUUGGAAGAUUGAAAGGUAUUUCAAAGUCCUUUGCGGAACACAUGAACAACUGGGAAUGAGCGGAUACUCGAUAAGUGCGAGGAUUUAUCCGUAGAGGUAUUCAUGUGGGUAAUGAAUUGCAAGGCAGUAGGCACAAAGUAUUCUCGGAGCAAUAGAGAGAAUUUUCGAGGUAUCUUGUAAUAACAAGAUCAAUGGGAAUGAAAGGACAAGUGUAUGUAGUUGUCCAUAAUAAUAUAACAGUGGUAGGGAAUUUGCAAAGGCGAUGGGCACAAGUGUCUCAAGAGAACAACGGAGAUUAUCUUUGGAAUCUUCUGGUGAAGCAGUCGAUCAUCUGUAAUGAAGGGGCUCUCCGGCAGGAAGUGGUAACGAGAACCUAGAGUUAGAUUUUAGCAAAAUCAUUUAACCCGAAUAGAAGAGAGAUCAGAGUCCCAGAGUAUAGGUCGAGGAAUAAAAGAUCCUAAUACCACCCAAUGGCGACGUGGGCCCAUGGGCCGCACAGUCAUGUUAGUAAAGCAGUUUCAUCGACUAGACUAGACUUCGGCCAAGGAGUGUGGAAGGGGGAUUCCUACAGGCAGUCGGCUCUGAUACCAACUUGUGACGCCCCCGAUUUAAUCGUACACUAAUCAUGCACGCAAAUGUGUACGAUCAAGAUCAGGGACUCACUGGAAGAUAUCACAACACAACUCUAAAACAUAAAUAAGUCAUACAAGCAUCAUAUUACAAGCCAGGGGGACUCGAGGGCUCGAAUACAAGAGCUCGAUCAUAGACGAGUCAGCGGAAGCAACAAUAUCUGAGUACAGACAUAAGUUAAACAAGUUUGCCUUAAGAAGGCUAGCACAAACUGGGAUACAGAUCGAAAGAGGCGCAUGCCUCCUGCCUGGGAUCCUCCUAACUACUCCUGGUCGUCGUCAGCGGGCAUCACGUAGUAGUAGGCACCUCCGGUGUAGUAGGGGUCGUCGUCUUAGGUGGCGUCUGGAUCCUGGGCUCCAACAUCUGGUUGCGACAACCAGGUAGAAGGGAUAGGGGGAGAAGAGGGAGAAAGCAACCGUGAGUACUCAUCCAAAGUACUCGCAAGCAAGAAGCUACACUACAUAUGCAUGGGUAUCAAAUGGAAUAAGGGUAUCAUAUGUGGACUGAACUGCAGAAUGCCAGAAUAAGAGGGGGAUAACUAAUCCUGUCGAAGACUACGCUUCUGGCAGCCUCCGCCUUGCAGCAUGUAGAAGAGAGUAGACUGAAGUCCUCCAAGUAGCAUCGCAUAGCAUAACCCUAACCGAUGAUCCUCCCCUUGUCGCCCUGUGAGAGAGCGACUAUCGAUUGUAUCUGGCACUUGGAAGGGUGUGUUUUAUUAAGUAUCCGGUUCUAGUUGUCAUAAGGUCAAGGUACAACUCCAAGUCGUCCUGUUACCGAAGAUCACGGCUAUUCGAAUAGAUAAACUUCCCUGCAGGGGUGCACCACAUACCCCAACACGCUUGAUCCCAUUUGGCCGGACACACUUUCCUGGGUCAUGCCCGGCCGUGGAAGAUCAACACGUCGCAGCCCCACCUAGGCACAACAGAGAGGUCAGCACGCCGGUCUAAACCUAAGCGCACAGGGGUCUGGGCCCAUCGCCCAUAGCACACCUGCACGUUGCGAACGCGGCCGAAAGCAGAACUAGCCCCCUUAAUACAAGAGCAGGCUUACGGUCCAAUCCGGCACGCGCCACUCAGUCGCUGACGUCACGAAGGCUUCGGCUGAUACCACGACGCCGGGAUACCCAUAACUACUCCCGCAUAGAUGGUUAGUGCGUAUAGGCCAGUAGCCAGACUCGGAUCAAAUACCAAGAUCUCGUUAAACGUGUUAAGUAUUCGCGAACGCCGACUAGGGCCAGGCCCACCUCUCUCCUAGGUGGUCUCAACCUGCCCUGUCGCUCCGCCACAAAGUAACAGCCGGGGGCCGUCGGGAACCCAGGCCCAGCACUACCUGGAUGGAGCCACCUACCCCUUCAGCCUCCAUCUCCGAACAGUAUCACAGGUAAGGUAACUGUGUAAAGUAUAUUGUAUAUGCCCGUGAUCACCUCCCGAAGUGAUCACGGCCCAGUAGUAUAGCAUGGCAGACGGACAAGAGUGUAAGGCCACUGAUGGAACACUAGCAUCCUAUACUAAGCAGUAGGAUAGCAGGUAAUGGUAACAACAGUAGUAGCAAGGACAUGCUAUGCAUCAGGAUAGGAAUAACGGAAAGCAGUAACAUGCUACACUACUCUAAUGCAAGCAGUAUAGAGGAGAGUAGGCGGUAUCUGGUGAUCAAGGGGGGGGCUUGCCUGGUUGCUCUGGCAAGAGAGAGGGGUCGUCGAUGUAGUCAUACUGGGUAGCAGCGGCGUCGGUCUCGGUGUCUAGCGAGAGAAGAGGGGGAAGAAACAAUAAAUAUAAUGCAAACAAUUGCAUGACGAUGCAUGACAUUAUAAAGCGUGAUGCUAGGUGUGCCCUAACAGGAUACGAGGUGGUACCGGUGAAGGGGGAAAACAUCUGGGAAAGUAUUCCCGGUGUUUCGCGUAUUUGGACAGAUGAUCUGGAGGGGGAAUGUUGCGUGUUCGGUAUGUUAGGGAGGCGUGGCGGACGAACGGGUUGCGUAUCCGGGUUCGUCUCGUCGUUCUGAGCAACUUUGCUGUACAAAGUUUUUACAUCUGAUCUACGGUUUAUUUUAUAUUAAUUUCCAAAGUUUUUAAUUCAUUUUCUAAAAUUAUCAGAUUAAUUUAAUUCAAAAUAAAUGUGAAUUGCUAGGUGCACCCAGCUCUGGGUACACAUAAGUGUACCAGAGGGGCUGCCAUGUGGGUCCAAGGGGUCCCAGUUGACCAGUCAAACCUUGACUGGUCAACAGGGGGUGGGGCCCCCUUGUCAUACACCGUUUUACUAACCUAACAGAUUAAAAGACUAAUUAGGUUAUUAGGUUAACUAACACAGGUUAAUUAAGUUAAUUAGCUAACUAAAUAGGAUUAAUUAAGUUAAUUAUUUAGAUAAUUAAUUAAUUAAUUUUAUUAUUAUUAUUAUUUUUAUUUUAUUUUGUUCAGGGCGUGGGCCCCGUUCAUCAUAGGGCCAAAGGCCAAAGCGGGCACCGGUGCUAGUAGGUUACAGGCGCAGGGGCGCUGCGGGUGUGCGGGUGCUUUGCCCGGGAGGGCGCUGUGGAGCGGCUGGCGGGACCGAGUGCCGGCGCUCCGGCGUGGAGCUCCGGCGGGCCGCCACCGGGCGGAGCAGCAGGGAAGUAGUGCAGCGGCGCGAUGAGGGGCUGGAGGAGCACAACCACUGCAGCAGCAGCGAUCGCGAGCUCCGACAAGGGAGCGGAGGGCCGUGGUGGAGGGCGCGCGGCGAGCACGGCCGCGAGCGGCAGCACAGCGAGACGGGGUGAGCACGGGCGGUGCACAUGCGCGAUGGACGGCUAAUGGCCGCGCGACGCGGGCGCGAACGGCGCAAGGCCGAUGUCGGGCGCGUCCACACGGUGAGGCAGGGGGCGCGAGCACGGCGCUGGGUGCGCACAGGGAGGGGGCCGCGGAGGCGGUGACCGCGGCCGCGAGCGAGGCACGUGCGCGGUGAGGGGGGGUCAACAACGGGAGAGAGGGAGUGAGGAGGGGAGGCGGCGGCUCACAGGGGUGCUGCAGGGGUUCAGGCAGCGGGGGAACGAGGAGGUGGACGGGGACGACACGCGUAGACGGGGAAGUCCGGCGGCGUCCGGGACGGCUUCGGGCGACAGAGUCGGGGUCGAGGCGGCGAUGGCGGGGCGGCGCCAGGAGGAAGCAGAGGCGCUAGGAGGUCGGUCGGGGAGGAGGGUUGAGGAGGCGGUGUGGGGAGGCGACGAGGAGGCGCCGGCGGAGACGGGCGGCGCCUGCCGACGAUGGGGCGUAGGGAUGAGGCGGCGGUGUCGGGGCGCCGUUUCCCCCGAUCCAGAUCGGGGAGGGAGCGAGGGAGACGCGCGGGGUGGGACGAGUGGGGGAGUGGGGUGCGCUAGGGUUUGGGUUCGGUCGCCCAGGGGAGUUAACGGAGUGGGGUGGGNNNNNNNNNNNNNNNNNNNNNNNNNNNNNNNNNNNNNNNNNNNNNNNNNNNNNNNNNNNNNNNNNNNNNNNNNNNNNNNNNNNNNNNNNNNNNNNNNNNNNNNNNNNNNNNNNNNNNNNNNNNNNNNNNNNNNNNNNNNNNNNNNNNNNNNNNNNNNNNNNNNNNNNNNNNNNNNNNNNNNNNNNNNNNNNNNNNNNNNNNNNNNNNNNNNNNNNNNGGUGGGCCGGCUAGGUUAGAGGCUGGCCGGCUGGGCCGUUUGGCCCAGUUGGCCAGGGGGUUUCUUUUUUUUUUUACUACUUUUAUGUUCCUUUUGGUUUAUCUACUUUUUACUAUUUUACUUUAUUUCCAAUUAUUUUAGUUUUAGUAAAAUAUACACUUAGCUCCAAAAAUAGUGUUUCAAAGUAGCCCACUACCCUAAAAAGUUUCACCUCAAAAUAAAAUAGUUUAUGAUUUUAUAAAAUAUCAAAGGCACUUAUUUAAUCGUUUCAACUACUAUUUUAAUCAUUUUAGAGUAUUAAAACAUUUUAUAAAAGUGGGGUUUCCUCACCACAAUUAACUUUGCAUUACUUGGCACAACCCAGACAUUUUAGUUUUAAAGUUUGAAAACUUUUGUUGUUUGCCUUUAAUUCAAUUUUGAAUUUGAAUCGGUUUUGAACUAACGCGAGAUUAACAACAGUAACCGUGGUGAUGUGGCAUCGUUAACGUGGGAUUACUGUAGCCUAAUUAUCCGGGCGUCACAGGAGUUUUCUCAAUAACUGUUUGCAAUAGAAAACCCCAAUUAGCAGGCUAAUUAUCCGAUUAUUAAUAAUCGAUUUAUUAAUCUAAUUGACAUUUCAUAUUAAGCACACAAUAUAUUUUAUUUUCAUAAUUGAAAUACAUCAGAGUACAACAUCAUAUAGCUUCAACACUCAGAUACCCCAUUACACAACUACACCAGCACGAAGUUUCACAUGCAUCAUCUAUAACCUUUCAAAAUUAGCAUCAUAGACGGUACAUAGACAUAUGUAUCUCAUCUGGAAAACUGCUGAAGCAGAAGGUGAAUAUUGAGCCUUCAUUGAUGUUGAAGGUCUUUGUAACUUUAGGACAGUGCAUGUGGAUGAUUGACCAUCCAUCCUUCGUCCUGUUCAGGAACACUUCAAUAUUGAAUCGUGGGUGUUGUAUGAAUACCUUCCUCGCCUCCUAACCAUACAUGUGGCUUGAGAGGUAAUCAUCAGUGAACUGCUUUGGAAAGGCCUGAAAACAAGGAUGUGCAUAAAUAUCUUCUCUAUAUUUGAAAUGGGGCAAAGGAAUAAAAAAGCAAGGUAUAAUAGUUAGUACCAUCCUGUAGUGAACUGAUGUCUUCUUCAUUGUGCAGACAAAGAUCUUAUUGUUCUUUGUCGCUAAUUUCUUUAUCCUAACAAUCUUUCUGAGUUUCUUGACUUGACUGAUAUUCAUGGACAACCCAUUUCCCCAUAUGCAAAACGGGUCGAACAGUGGGUCAAAACCUCUGACAGCAGGACCUACAUGUGCAAGACCAAAUUGUUAAAAACCAAAAUAUUAGGAAGGUUCAUGCAAUUGCCUAAUAAUGUGCUAUUAGACAACGGACCAUGCAUGUGCUAACCUCGAUUGUAAACCUCGGUGCUUCCCAUUGUUUCCCUGCAACACAUAUAAGGUAGUUAGUCAUCAGGUUAAGUAGGGGUUCGCAUGCUAUCAGUAAAAUUGAUGAAAAACAAGCACAUUACAUGUUCUCCAGAUUAAUUCAAGCCACAUGGAAAACCCAUUUAUCCAAACCAAGCAUGAUUAAGAACUAGGAAAUAUAGCACUUGUAUAUGUUUCUCAAGUAUUAAGUGCAGCCAAAUUCGAUUUUUCCUUACAUGCUCAAUAAUACAAAAUUCUACCCACGAAAAUUGGACAUCGCAUUGCAGAAUUGAACAAAGCAGUUAACUAAACACCACAACAAAUGAACCAAACAUCAACUGAGCACCACAUUGCACAAUAUAACAUACUCCUAAUAGAAGAUCAGACAGUUAACCAAAUCAAGCAUGCUUAACAACUUGGAAAUAUAGCAAUUGUAUUUGUUUCUCAUGUAUUUAGUACAACCAAAUUCAAUUUAUUCCUCACAUGGUAUACAAUAACAGAAUGCACGCACAAAAAUUGAACAUCGCAUUGCAGCAUUGAACCAAACAAAACAGUCAAUUAAACACCACAACAAAUGAACCAAACGUUAACUAAGCACCACAUUGCACUAUAUAACAUACUCCUGAUAGAAAAUCAGACAGUUAACCAAACCAAGCAUGCUUAGCAACUUGGAAAUAUAGCAAUUGUGUUUGUUUCUCAUGUAUUUAGUACAGCCAAAUUCGAUUUAUUUCUCACAUGGUAUACAAUAACAGAAUGCACCCACAACAAUUGAACAUCGCAUUGCACAAUUGAACCAAACAGCCAACCGCAUCACGUCAUUGGCGCGCGAGGCGUCAACGGUGGCCUCGACGACGAGGUGCUCCUCCAAGACCUAGGGGUUGACACGAAUGGAAGCCAUCACGACCUCAUCCACGCGUGAGGCCGCGAUUUGCUUCUUCGCUGCCAAAUGCUCCUUGAGAUCCUGGCUAUACUGCGCACACCGUGGCUUAGGGCGGCGCUUAUUUGGUGGAGGGUGUUGCGGAAUGUAGCAAUUUCAAAAAAAUUCCUACGCACACGCAAGAUCAUGGUGAUGCACAACAACGAGAGGGGAGAGUGUUGUCGACGUACCCUUGUAGACCGGAAGCGGAAGCGUUAUAACAACGCGGUUGAUGUAGUCGUACGUCUUCACGGCCCGACCGAUCAAGCACCGAAACGACGGCACCUCCGAGUUUUUGCACACGUUCAGCUCGAUGAUGAUCCCCAGACUCCGAUCCAGCAAACUGUCGGGGAUGAGUUCCGUCAGCACGACGGCGUGGUGACGAUCUUGAUGUUCUACCGUCGCAGGGCUUCGCCUAAGCACCGCUGCAAUAUUAUCGAGGAUUAUGGUGGAGGGGGGCACCGCACACGGCUAAGAGAUCUAUGAUCAAUUGUUGUGUUCAUGGGGUGCCCCCUGCCCCCGUAUAUAAAGGAGUGGAGGAGGGGGCCGGCCAAGGAGGGUGGCGCGCCCAAGGGGGGAGUCCAACUCCCACCGGGAGUAGGACUCCCCUUUUUCCUAUUAGGAGUAGGAGAGGGAAGGAAGAGGAAGGAGGGAGGAAGGAAGGGGGGUGCCCCCCCUCCCAAUUUGGAUUGGGCUUGGGGGGGCGCCCCCUCCCUUGCUCCUUUCCCCUGCUUUCCACUAAGGCCCAAUAAGGCCCAUAUACCUCCCGGGGGGUUCCGAUAACCUCCGGGUGAUCCGGUAUUGUCCCAAUCUCACCCGGAACCUUUCCUGUGUCCAAAUAUAGUCGUCCAAUAUAUCCAUCUUUAUGUCUCGACCAUUUCGAGACUCCUUCCGUGAUCACAUCCGGGACUCCGAACAACCUUCGGUACAUCAAAAUAUAUAAACUCAUAAUGAAAGUGUCAUCGUAACGUUAAGCAUGCGGACCCUACGGGUUCGAGAACAAUGUAGACAUGACCGAGACACAUCUCCGGUCAAUAACCAAUAGCGGAACCUGGAUGCUCAUAUUGGCUCCUACAUAUUCUACGAAGAUCUUUAUCGGUUAGACCGCAUAACAACAUACGUUGUUCCCUUUGUCAUCGGUAUGUUACUUGCCCGAGAUUCGAUCGUCGGUAUCUCAAUACCUAGUUCAAUCUCAUUACCGGCAAGUCUCUUUACUCGUUCCAUAAUACAUCAUCUUGCAACUAACUUACUAGUUGCAUUGCUUGCAAGGCUUAAGUGAUGUGUAUUACCGAGAGGGCCCAGAGAUACCUCUCCGAUAAUCGGAGCGACAAAUCCUAAUCUCGAAAUACGCCAACCCAACAUGUACCUUUGGAGACACCUGUAGAGCACCUUUAUAAUCACCCAGUUACGUUUUGACGUUUGGUAGCACACAAAGUGUUCCUUCGGUAAACAGGAGUUGCAUAAUCUCAUAGUCAUAGGAACAUGUAUAAGUCAUGAAGAAAGCAAUAGCAACAUACUAAACGAUCGGGUGCUAAGCUAAUGGAAUGGGUCAUGUCAAUCACAUCAUUCUCCUAAUGAUGUGAUCCCAUUAAUAAAAUGACAACUCAUGUCUAUGGUUAGGAAACAUAACCAUCUUCGAUUAACAAGCUAGUCAAGUAGAGGCAUACUAGUGACACUUUGUUUGUCUAUGUAUUCACACAUGUAUUAUGUUUCUGGUUAAUACAAUUCUAGCAUGAAUAAUAAACAUUUAUCAUGAUAUAAGGAAAUAAAUAAUAACUUUAUUAUUGCCUCUAGGGCAUAUUUCCUUCAGUCUCCCACUUGCACUAGAGUCAAUAAUCUAGUUCACAUCGCCCUGUGAUUUAACAUCAAUAGUUCACAUUACCAUGUGAUUAACACACAUAGUUCACAUCGUCAUGUUACCAACACCCAAAGGGUUUACUAGAGUCAAUAAUCUAGUUCACAUCGCUAUGUGAUUAAUACCCAAAGAGUACUAAGGUGUGAUCAUGUUUUGCUUGUGAGGGAAGUUUAGUCAACGGGUCUGCCACAUUCAGAUCCGUAUGUAUUUUGCAAAUUUCUAUGUCAACAAUGCUCUGCACGGAGCUACUCUAGCUAAUUGCUCCCACUUUCAAUAUGUAUCCAGAUUCAGACUUUGAGUCAUCUGGAUCAGUGUCAAAACUUGCAUCGACGUAAUCCUUUACGACGAACCUUUUGUCACCUCCAUAAUCGAUAAACAUAUCCUUAUUCCACUAAGGAUAAUUUUGACCAAUGUCCAGUGAUCUACUCCUAGAUCACUAUUGUACUCCCUUGCCAAACACAGGGCAGGGUAUACAAUAGGUCUGGUACACAGCAUGGCAUACUUUAUAGAACCUAUGGCUGAGGCAUAGGGAAUGACUUUCAUUCUCUCUCUAUCUUCUGCCGUGGUCGGGUUUUAAGUCUUACUCAACUUCACACCUCGUAACAAAGGCAAGAACUCCUUCUUUGACUGAUCCAUUUUGAACUACUUUAAAAUCUUGUCAAGGUAUGUACUCAUUGAAAAACUUAUCAAGCGUCUUGAUCUAUCUCUAUAGAUCUUGAUGCUCAAUAUGUAAGCAGCUUCACCGAGGUGUUUCUUUGAAAAACUCCUUUCAAACAUUCCUUUAUGCUUUGCAGAAUAAUUCUACAUUAUCUCCGAUCAACAAUAUGUCAUUCACAUAUGCUUAUCAGAAAUGCUGUAGUGCUCCCACUCACUUUCUUGUAAAUACAGGCUUCACCGCAAGUCUGUAUAAAACUAUAUGCUUUGAUCAACUUAUCAAAGCGUAUAUUCCAACUCCGAGAUGCUUGCACCAGUCCAUAGAUGGAUCGCUGGAGCUUGCAUAUUUUGUUAGUACCUUUAGGAUUGACAAAACCUUCUGGUUGCAUCAUAUACAACUCUUCUUUAAUAAAUCUAUUAAGGAAUGCAAUUUUGUUUAUCCAUUUGCCAGAUUUCAUAAAAUGCGGCAAUUGCUAACAUGAUCCGGACAGACCUAAGCAUAGAUAUGAGUGAGAAACUCUCAUCGUAGUCAACACCUUGAACUUGUCGAAAACCUUUUUGCGACAAUUCUAGCUUUGUAGAUAGUAACACUACUAUCAGCGUCCGUCUUCCUCUUGAAGAUCCAUUUAAUCUCAAUGGCUCACCGAUGAGAGAAGUGCAUAUUACACCCCUCAACUCUAGCCCUAGUCUAAUAUACAACCCCCAACUCUAAUACCAUCUAGUUUACACCCCCCAACUCUCAAAACCAGGCGGAAUUCAACCCUCCCCUCCCUGUUACCGGUUUUGACCUGUUGACUGGGUGAACAGUAAAUUCAAAAGAAAUAAUAAUUUUGUUUUUUCACCGGCUGAACAGUAAAAUUUUAAAAAGUUCUAAAUAAAAAAAUUAAAAAAUAAUUUUGAUUUUUUAAAAUGUUGAUUCUUUGUCCGGGUGAACAGUAAAUUUCAGGAAAAAAUAAGAAAACAAAAAUUUCUAAAUUAUAUUUGCAUGAAACAGUUAACAGUUCGUGUACUAUUUGGGCUGAUAUAUUUUUUUGUUGAGAGACCACUGAAAUGUCCAAACAAGCUGAAAAUUGUCACAGACAUCACGCGCUGAAAAAUCACCCACACAAAAAUAAUUCGGUUUUUUUUGAAAAAAAAAGAAUUUUUUGGAAUUUACUAUUCACCCGGCAAAAAAUCGAAACAGCUUGUUGAAUUUUAUUUCCAUUUUUUUUGAAUUUACUGUUCACCCAUUGGAAAAACCAAAAUAUUUUUUGAUUUUUUUGUUACUGUUCACCCAGUCAACAUGUCAAAACCGGUCAACGGGGAGGGGAGGGUUGAAUUCCGCUUGGUUUUGAGAGUUGGGGGUGUAAACUAGAUGGUAUUGAAGUUGGGGGGUGUAUAUUAGACUAGGCCUAGAGUUGAGGGGUGUAAUAUGCACUUCUCUCCUCACCGAUCAAUGGGCAAGUCAAACAAAGUCCAUACUUUGUUCUCAUACAUGGAUCUCAUCUCAGAUUUCAUGGCCUCAAGCCAUUUCGCGGAAUCUGGGCUCAUCAUCGCUUCCUCGUAGUUCGUUGGCUCAUCGGUCAAGUAACAUGACCUCCAGAACAAGAUUACCGUACCACUCUGGUAAGGAUCUCACUCUGGUUUACCUACGAGGUUCGGUAGUAACUUGAUCUGAAGUUACAUGAUCAUCAUCAUUAGCUUCCUCACUAAUUGGUGUAGUAGUCACAGGAACAAAUUUCUGUGAUGAACUACUUUCCAAUAAGGGAGCAGGUACAGUUAUCUCAUCAAGUUCUACUUUCCUCCCCCUCACUUCUUUCAAGAGAAACUCCUCUAGAAAGGAUCCAUUCUCAGCAAUGAAUAUCUUGCCUUCGGAUCUGUGAUAGAAGGUGUACCCAACAUUUUCUUUUGGGUAUCCUAUGAAAAUGCACUUCUCCGAUUUGGGUUUGACCUUAUCAGGUUGAAACUUUUUCACAUAAGCAUUGCAACCUCAAACUUUAAGAAACGAUAUCUUAGGUUUCUUGCCAAACCAUAGUUCAUACGGUGUCAUCUCAACAGAUUUAGAUGGUGCCCUAUUUAAUGUGAAUGUAGCUGUCUCUAAUGCAUAACCCCAAAACGAUAGUGGUAAAUCGAUAAGAGACAUCAUAGAUCGCACCAUAUCUAAUAAAGUACGAUUACGAUGUUCGGACACACCAUUACACUGUGGUGUUCCAGGUGGCAUGAUUUUGUGAAACUAUUCCACAUUGUUUUAAUUGAAGACCAAACUCGUAACUCAAAUAUUUGUCUCUGCGAUCAGAUCGUAGAAACUUUAUUUUCUUGUCACGAUGAUUUUCCACUUCACUCUGAAGUUCUUUGAACUUUUCAAAUGUUUCAAACUUAUGUUUCAUCGAGUAGAUAUACCCAUAUCUGCUCAAAUCAUCUGUGAAGGUCAGAAAAUAACGAUACCCACCGUGAGCGUCAACACUCAUCGGACUGCAUACAUCAGUAUGUAUUAUUUCCAAUAAGUCAGUUGCUCGCUCCAUUGUUCCGGAGAACGGAGUCUUAGUCAUCUUGCCCAUGAGGCAUGGUUCGCAAGCAUCAAAAUGAUUCAUAAUCUAGUGAUUCCAAAAGCCCAUCAGCAUGGAGUUUCUUCAUGCACUUUACACCAAUAUGACCUAAACGGCAGUGCCACAAAUAAGUUGCACUAUCAUUAUUAACUUUGCAUCUUUUGGCUUCAAUAUUAUGAAUAUGUGUAUCACUACGAUCAAGAUCCAACGAACCAUUUUCAUUGGGUGUAUGACCAUAAAAGGUUUUAUUCAUGUAAGCAGAACAACAAUUAUUCUCUAACUUAAAUGAAUAACCGUUUUGCAAUAAACAUGAUCAAAUCAUAUUCAUGCUCAACGCAAACACCAAAUAACAUUUAUUUAGGUUUAACACUAAUCCCGAAAGUAUAGGGAGUGUGCGAUGAUGAUCACAUCAAUCUUGGAACCACUUCCAACACACAUCGUCACUUCACCCUUAACUAGUCUUUGUUCAUUCUACAAGUCCCAUUUCGAGUUACUACUCUUAGCAACUGAACCAGUAUCAAAUACCGAGGGGUUGCUAUGAACACUAGUACAAUACACAUCAAUAAUCUGUAUAUCAAAUAUACCUUUGUUCACUUUGCCAUCCUUCUUAUCCGCCAAAUGCUUGGGGCAGUUCGCUUCCAGUGACCAGUCCCUUUGCAGUAGAAGCACUUAGUCUCAGGCUUAGGAAUAGACUUGGGCUUCUUCAAUUGAGUAGCAACUUGCUUGCCGUUCUUAUUGAAGUUCCCCUUCUUCCCUUUGCCCUUUUCUUGAAACUAGUGGUCUUGUUAAUCAUCAACACUUGAUGCUCUUUCUUGAUUUCUACCUUCAUUGAUUUCAUCAUCAUGAAAAGCUCGGGAAUUGUUUUCAUCAUCCCUGCAUACUAUAGUUCAUCACGAAGUUCUACUAACUUGGUGAUGGUGACUAGAGAAUUCUGUCAAUCACUAUUUUAUCUGGAAGAUUAACUCCCACUUGAUUCAAGCGAUUGUGGUACCCAGACAAUCUAAACACAUGCUCACUGCUUGAGCUAUUCUCCUCCAUCUUUUAGCUAUAGAACUUUUGUUGGAGACUUCAUAUAUCUCAACUCGGGUAUUUGCUUGAAAUAUUAACUUCAACUCCUGGAACAUCUCAUAUGUUCCAUGACGUUCAAAACGUCUUUGAAGUCCCGAUUCUAAGUCGUUAAGCAUGGUGCACUAAACUAUCAAGUAGUCAUCAUAUUGAGCUAGCCAAACGUUCAUAACAUCUGCAUCUGCUCGUGCAAUAGGUUUUUCACCUAGCGGUGCAUCAAGGACAUAAUUCUUCUGUGCAGCAAUGAGGAUAAACCUCAGAUCACGGAUCCAAUCCGCAUCAUUGCUACUAACAUCUUUCAACUUAGUUUUCUCUAGGAACAUAUCAAAAAUAAAACAGGGGAGCUAAAUGCGAGCUAUUGAUCUACAACAUAGAUAUGCUAAUACUACCAGGACUAAGUUCAUGAUAAAUUUAAGUUCAAUUAAUCAUAUUACUUAAGAACUCCCACUUAGAAAGACAUCCCUCUAAUCUUCUAAGUGAUCACGUGAUCCAAAUCAACUAAACCAUAAGCGAUCAUCACGUGAAAUGGAGUAGUUUUCAAUGGUGAACAUCACUAUGUUGAUCAUAUCUACUAUAUGAUUCACGCUCGACCUUUCGGUCUCAGUGUUCUGAGGCCAUAUCUGCAUAUGCUAGGCUCGUCAAGUUUAACCUGAGUAUUCUGCGUGUGCAAAACUGGCUUGCACCUGUUGUAGAUGGACGUAGAGCUUAUCACACCCGAUCAUCACGUGGUGUCUGGGCACGAUGAACUUUGGCAACGGUGCAUACUUAGGGAGAACACUUUUAUCUUGAAAUUUAGUGAGAGAUCAUCUUAUAAAGCUACCAUCGAACUAAGCAAAAUAAGAUGCAUAAAAGAUAAACAUCACAUGCAAUCAAAAUAUGUGACAUGAUAUGGCCAUCAUCAUCUUGUGCCUUUGAUCUCCAUCUCCAAAGCGUCAUCAUGAUUUCCAUCGUCACCAGCAUGACACCAUGAUCUCCAUCAUCUUGAUCUAUAUCAAUGUGUCGUCACAUGGUCGUCUCGCCAACUAUUUAUCUUGCAACUAUUGCUAUCGCAUAGCGAUAAAGUAAAGCAAUUAUUGGCGCUUGCAUCUUAUGCAAUAGAGAGAUAACCAUAAGGCUUUUGCCAGUUGCUGAUAACUUCAACAAAACAUGAUCAUCUUAUACAAAAACUUAUAUCUCAUCACGUCUUGACCAUAUCACAUCACAACAUGCCCUGCAAAAAACAAGUUGGGCGUCCUCUACUUUGUUGUUGCAAGUUUUACGUGGCUGCUACGGGCUUAGCAAGAACCGUUCUUACCUACGCAUCAAAACCACAACGAUAGUUUGUCAAGUUGGUGCUGUUUUAACCUUCGCAAGGACCGGGCGUAGCCACACUCAGUUCAACUAAAGUUGGAGAAACUGACACCCGCCAGCCACCUGUGUGCAAAGCACGUCGGUAGAACCAGUCUCGCGUAAGCGUAUGCGUAAUGUCGGUCCGGGCCGCUUCAUCCAACAAUACCGCCGAACCAAAGUAUGACAUGCUGGUAAGAAGUAUGACUUAUAUCACCCACAACUCACUUGUGUUCUACUCGUGCAUAUAACAUCAACACAUAAAACCUAGGCUCAGAUGCCACUGUUGGGGAACGUAGUAAUUUCAAAAAAUUUCCUACGCACACGCAAGAUCAUGGUGAUGCAGAACAACGAGAGGGGAGAGUGUUGUCUACGUACCCUUGUAGACUGGAAGCGGAAGCGUUAUAACAACGCGGUUGAUGUAGUCGUACGUCUUCACGGCCCGACCGAUCAAGCACCGAAACUACGGCACCUCCGAGUUUUUGCACACGUUCAGCUCGACGACGAUCCCCGGACUCCGAUCCAGCAAAGUGUCGGGGAUGAGUUCCGUCAGCACGACGGCGUGGUGACAAUCUUGAUGUUCUACCGUCGCAGGGCUUCGCCUAAGCACCGCUACAAUAUUAUCGAGGAUUAUGGUGGAGGGGGGCACCACACACGGCUAAGAGAUCAAUGAUCAAUUGUUGUGUUCAUGGGGUGCCCCCCUGCCCCCGUAUAUAAAGGAGUGGAGGAGGGGGCCUGCCAAGGAGGGUGGCGCGCCCAAGGGGGGUAGUCCAACUCCCACCAGGAGUAGGACUCCCCUUUUUCCUAUUAGGAGCAGGAGAGCGAAGGAAGAGGAAGGAGGGAGGAAGGAAAGGGGGGCCGGCCCCCCUCCCAGUUCGGAUUGGGCUUGGGGGGGCCCUCCCUUGCUCCUUUCCCCUCCUUUCCACUAAGGCCCAAUAAGGCCCAUAUACCUCCCGGGGGGUUCCGAUAACCUCUCGGUGAUCCGGUAUUGUCCCAAUCUCACCCGGAACCUUUCCGGUGUCCAAAUAUAGUCAUCCAAUAUAUCGAUCUUUAUGUCUUGACCAUUUCGAGACUCCUCGUCAAGUCCGUGAUCACAUCCGGGACUCCGAACAACCUUCGGUACAUCAAAAUAUAUAAACUCAUAAUGAAACUGUCAUCGUAACGUUAAGCGUGCGGACCCUAUGGGUUCGAGAACAAUGUAGACAUGACCGAGACACGUCUUCGGUCAAUAAACAAUAGCGGAACCUGGAUGCUCAUAUUGGCUCCUACAUAUUCUACGAAGAUCUUUAUCGGUCAGACCGCAUAGCAACAUAUGUUGUUCCCUUUGUCAUCAGUAUGUUACUUGCCCGAGAUUCGACCGUCGGUAUCUCAAUACCUAGUUCAAUCUCGUUACCGACAAGUCUCUUUACUCGUUCCGUAAUACAUCAUCUUGCAACUAACUUAUUAGUUGCAUUGCUUGCAAGCCUUAAGUGAUGUGUAUUAUCGAGAGGGCCCAGAGAUACCUCUCCGACAAUCGGAGCGACAAAUCCUAAUCUCGAAAUACGCCAACCCAACAUGUACCUUUGGAGACACCUAUAGAGCACCUUUAUAAUCACCCAGUUAUGUUGUGACGUUUGGUAGCACACAAAGUGUUCCUUCGGUAAACGGGAGUUGCAUAAUCUCAUAGUCAUUGGAACAUGUAUAAUUCAUGAAGAAAGCAAUAGCAACAUACUAAAUGAUCGGGUGCUAAGCUAAUGGAAUGGGUCAUGUCAAUCACAUCAUUCUCCUAAUGAUGUGAUCUCGUUAAUCAAAUGACAACUCAUGUCUAUGGUUAGGAAACAUAACCAUCUUCGAUUAACGAGCUAGUCAAGUAGAGGCAUACUAGUGACACUUUGUUUGUCUAUGUAUUCACACAUGUAUUAUGUUUCCGGUUAAUACAAUUCUAGCAUGAAUAAUAAACAUUUAUCAUGAUAGAAGGAAAUAAAGAAUAACUUUAUUAUUGCCUCUAGGGCAUAUUUCCUUCAGAGGGGUCGGUGAUUUGGGAGGAAGGUGUCACGCCGGCAGUUGGGGCAUGUGGGAUGUGGAAGGAGGAGGAGGAUGGGGGUCAGGUGUGGAUUACAUGCCUGGAUAGGCGAGGUCGAGCAGCGUGAAGGAGGGUCGCCGGUGAGGAGGUGACAUGGCAAGCAAGGAGUGAAGGUUUCAACUUGGAAAGGAAGGCGUAAACAGGGGAAAUGUGGCUUUCGGCAAGGCGGAGGGUGCGGGGAGGUAGAUAUUUCCGCGGAAGCCGAAAUUUUUGAAUCGCUUCAGCGAAAAACUAGCGCGCAAAGUGUCAUCAGACACGGUCCCUUACUCAGAACUGUGUAUGAUAUGUGAACAUCACAAACGAUUCAGAUAGCUUAACCCAUGUGUGAUUUGUUUGAACAUCAAAAAUUUUGGUUCGAAUUUCCCUAGUUACAGUGGUCAUCCACGUCAUUGCAUAAUUUGGGUACACAAAGGAGACUACAGCACACCCACACUUCUUAGUCGACCAAGUUCAGCAAUUAAACAGAGUUAGCUGACCUAAACAUUACUCUAACAAAUUAAAGGUCGACACUCUUAAUUAAACAAAACAAAGAUUAUACUAUGGCUGGUGCUCGUCAAUCUCCGCCGCCGCCUCCAUGUCCAGCUCGCGCUCGACGAUCUCCUGGGGAAGGGGCUCCAUGGCAUCAAUUGCACCAUACUCAGCAAGCAUCUCGCUAUCCUUGUCCGCCAUAUCUUUGGAAUAGGCUGCAAGGAGAUGGGCGUGGGCGGCCGCGAUCUGGGCUUUGGCGGGCUCUGUCAUGGCAAGGUAUGCCACGCAGCAGCGGACGGCUGCUUGAACUCUCUCGGCGAUUCCCAACUCUUCGGCCGUGGGUUUCCAACCGUUGUCGGAGAAGUUUCAUUCGAUUUGUGUGGUGACCACCAUGAGGUGGGCGUGGAUGGCCUCGACAUGGUGGUGGGCGACCUCCAUCAAGGCUAAGGCCACGGCUGCGGAACGGACAACUGCUGUGCCACUCUCGCUAGUUGCUAUCCCUGAGGCAGAUGCUGCGACCGCCACCUGAGAAGCAACAGCGGCCAUUUGGGCAGCCUUGGUCAUCCGAAUGCAGAUUGCAGUCGCCCUCACGAAACUGGUUAGCAAGCGCCUCACGGCUGCAGGUGCGCUCUCGCCGGAAUGGGUCACCGAAGUUGCCCUCACGAGCUGGUCCACAUCCCCAUCUUUCACCGGUGACGGUUGAACAGUGAAAUGAUAUUUGAGGAGCGGGCUAGUGUGCUUGACACUCUGACGGUGCUCCAAGAUAUUUUGUGCUGCAUCUCACACGACUGGUGAUAACAACCUGUGUGCGAUCUACUUGAUUUUUCGUCUUGAUUUGAAUUACGUAAUGGGGUCACAGCUACAAAGGAUGGUGUUUGAAUUGCCACAACUUUUAUCUGUAGUGAACAUGUAACUAUAGGUGUGUCGUCAAAAAAUUGGAAUUUUUCAGGGUUCAUUUGGAUGUUUUUACACAUUAACCUGGUUUUGUAGUCAUUUCAGGUGCAUAAUUUAAAUUUGAACUACAUGCACAUGCUCCAGUGCAUAUAAACGUGUUGAAAAAUCAAAUCUGUGUCCUUGGUUGCAUGCUUAGGUCCCAUGCAAGAAAUGGGAAUGAAUGUCAAACACCCUGCCACCGUCACUCGGCCGCAAACAUUGAGAUACAUGGUUUUUAAAUUCUAGUAAAUCCAAAACUCGUUUGAAAUUCAUGAAACUUGGAAUGCUAUCAUGGAGCGGAAUCAACAUGCCGUGGUAAUAUUUUUGUCACAUUUGGGACAGGUUUGGGUAUAAGCUUCUCCCAAACCAGAGCUUCUCACAACAAGCGUGAUGGUUUCGGUAGGGAACAUGCCACCUUUGGGGACGAAACGAUAUAUGUUGCCUCUUAUUGCUUUCAAAAUUUUUCUAGUGUCAACAUAGAACAACAAGAGUGUUUUGUUUAAUUUUGGAAUUUUUCGGGGUUCUUUUGGACAUUUUUAUACACUAAUUGGGUUUUCCAGGCAUUUUAUGUGCAUAAUUCAAAUUUCAACUACAUGCACAUGCUCCAUUGCAUAUAAAUUGGUUGAAAAAUCCUAUUUGUGUCCUUCGGUGCAUGCUUAGGUCCCAUGCAAGAAAUGGGAAUGAAUUUUAAACACCCCGCCCCGUCACUCAGCCGCAAACGUUGAGAUACUUGGUUUUAAAAUUCUAGUAAAUCCAAAACUCGUCUGAAAUUCAUGAAACUUGGCAUGCUAUCAUGGAGCGGCAUCAACAUGUCGUGGUAAAAAUUUUGUCCCAUUUGGGGCAGGUUUGGGUACAAGCUUCUCCUAAACCAGAGCUUCUCACAACAAGCGUGAUGGUUUCGGUAGGGAACGUGCCACCUUUGGGGACGAAAUGCUAUUCGUUGCAUCUUAUUGCUUUCGAAAAUUUUCUAGUGUCAACAUAGAACAACAAGAGUGUUGUUUUAAUUUGGAUGUUUUGGGGUUUGUUUGGACAUCUUUAUACAUUAACUAGGUUUUCCAGGCAUUUCGGGUGGAUAAUUCAAAUUUUAACUACAUGCACAUGCUCUAGUGCAUAUAAAUUGGUUGAAAAAACAAAUUUGUGUCUUUUGGUGCAUGCUUAGGUCCCAUACAAGAAAUGGGAAUGAAUUUCAAACACCCUGCCGCCAUCACUCGGCCACAAACAUUGAGAUACUUGGUUUUAAAAUUCUAGUAAAUCCCAAACUCAUCAGAAAUUCAUGAAACUUGGCAUGCUACCAUGGAGCGGCAUCAGCAUGCUGUGGUAAAUAUUUUGUCCCAUUUGGGGCACAUUUGUGUAUAAGAUUCUCACAAACCAAAGCUGCUCACAACAAGGUUUCGAUAGGGAAUGUACCACCUUUGGGGACGAAACAAUAUCUGUUGCCUCUUAUUGCAUUAAAUUUUUUUCUAGUGUCAACAUGGAGCAAGAGGAGUGUUGUGUUUAAUUUUGUAUUUUUUCGGGGCUCGUUUGGACAUCUUUAUAAGUGAACUUGGUUUUCCAGGCAAAUCAGGUGCAUAAUUAAAAUUUGAACUACAUGCACAUGCUCCAGUGCAUAUAAAUUGGUUGAAAAAUCAAAUUUGUGUCCUUUGGUGCAUGCUUAGGCCCCAUGCAAGUAAUGGGAAUGAAUUUCAAACACCCUGCCACCGUCACUCGGCCGCAAACAUUGAGAUACUUGGUUUUUAAAUUUUAGUAAAUCCAAAACUCGUUUGAAAUUCAUGAAACUUGGCAUGCUAUCAUGGAGCGGCAUCAGCAAGCCGUGGUAAAUUUUUUGUCCCAUUUGGGGUAGGUUUGGGUAUAAGCUUCUCACAACAAGCGUGAUGGUUUCGGUAGGGAACGUGCCACCUUUGGGGACGAAAUGAUAUCCGUUGCCUCUUAUUGCUUUCAAAUUUUUUCUAGUGUCAACAUAGAACAACAAGAGUUUUGUUUUAAUUUGGAUUUUUUCGGGGUUCGUAUGGACAUCUUUAUACAUUGACUAGGUUUUCCAGGCAUUUUGUGUGCAUAAUUCAAAUUUGAACUACAUGCACAUCCUCCAGUGCAUAUAAAUUGGUUGAAAAAUCAAAUUUGUGUCUUUCGGUGCAUGCUUAGGUCCCAUGCAAGAAAUGGGAAUGAAUGUUAAACACCCUGCCACCGUCACUCGGCCGCAAAAUUGAGAUACAUGAUUUUUAAAUUCAAGUAAAUCUAAAACUCGUCUGAAAUUCAUGAAACUUGGCAUGCUAUCAUGGAGCGGCAUCAACAUGCCAUGGUAAAUUUUUGUCCCAUUUGGGACAGGUUUGGGUAUAAGCUUCUCCCAAACCAGAGCUUCUCACAAUAAGCGUGAUGGUUUCAGUAAGGAACAUGCCACCUUUGGGGACGAAACGAUAUCUGUUGCCUCUUAUUGCUUUCAAAAAUUUUCUAGUGUCAACAUAGAACAACAGGAGUGUUGUGUUUAAUUUUGGAAUUUUUCGGGGUUCAUUUGGACAUUUUUAUACAUUAACUGGGGUUUCCAGGCAUUUUAUGUGCAUAAUUCAAAUUUGAACUACAUGCACAUGCUCCAGUGCAUAUAAAUUGGUUGAAAAAUCGAAUUUGUGUCCUUCGGUGCAUGCUUAGGUCCCAUGCAAGAAAUGGGAAUGAAUUUCAAACACCCUGCCACGUCACUCGGCCGCAAACAUUGAGAUACUUGGUUUUAAAAUUCUAGUAAAUCCAAAACUCGUCUGAAAUUCAAGAAACUUGGCAUGCAAUCAUGGGGCGGCAUCAACAUUCCGUGGUAAAUUUUUUGUCCCAUUUGGGGCAGGUUUGGGUAUAAGCUUCUCCCAAACCUGAGCUUCUCACAACAAGCGUGAUGGUUUCGGUAGGGAACUUGCCACCUUUGGGGACGAAAUGAUAUCCGUUGCCUCUUAUUUCUUUCAAAAAAUUGCUAGUGUCAAGAUAGAACAACAAGAGUGUUGUUUUAAUUUGGAUUUUUUCGGGGUUCGUUUGGACAUCUUUAUACAUUAACUAGGUUUUCCAGGCAUUUCGGGUGCAUAAUUGAAAUUUGAACUACAUGCACAUGCUCCAGUGCAUAUAAAUUGGUUGAAAAAUCAAAUUUGUGUCUUUCGGUGCAUGCUUAGGUCCCAUGCAAGAAAUGGGAAUGAAUUUCAAACACCGAGCCACCGUCACUCGGCCGCAAACAUUGAGAUACUUGGUUUUAAAAUUCUAGUAAAUCCAAAACUCGUCUGAAAUUCAUGAAACUUGGCAUGCUAUCAUGGAGCGGCAUCAACAUGCUAUGGUAAAUUUUUUGCACCAUUUGGGGGCACGUUUGCGUAUAAGCUUCUCACAAACCAGAGCUUCUCACAACAAGCGUGAUGGUUUUGAUAGGGAAUGUGCCACCUUUGGGGACGAAACGAUAUCCAUUGCCUCUUAUUGCUUUCAAAAAAUUCUGUUGUCAACAUAGAGCAAGAGGAGUGUUGUGUUUAAUUGUGGAUUUUUUGGGGGUUCGUUUGGACAUUUUUAUAAAUUAACGUGGUUUUCCACGCAUUUCAGGUGCAUAAUUAAAAUUUGAACUACAUGCACAUGCUCUAGUGCAUAUAAAUUGGUUGAAAAAUCAAAUUUGUGUCCUUUGGUGCAUGCUUAGGUCCCAUGCAAGAAGUGGGAAUGAAUUUCAAACACCUUGCCACCGUCACUCGGCCGCAAACAUUGAGACAGUUGGUUUUUAAAUUCUAGUAAAUCCAAAACUUGUCUGAAAUUCAUGAAACUUGGCAUGCUAUCAUGGAGCAGCAUCAACAUGCCGUGGUAAAUUUUUUGUCCCAUUUGGGGCAGGUUUGGGUAUAAGCUUCUCACAAAUCAAAGCUUCUCACAACAAGUGUGAUGGUUUCGGUAGGGAACGUGCCACCUUUGGGGACGAAACGAUAUCUGUUGCCUCUUAUUGCUUUCAAAAAAUUUCAAGUCUCAACAUAGAACAACAUGAGUGUUGUGUUUGAUUUUGGAAUUUUUCGGGGUUCGUUUGGACAUUUUUAUACAUUAACUUGGUUUUGUAGGCAUUUAAGGUGCAUAAUUCAAAUUUGAACUACAUGCACAUGCUCCAGUGCAUGUAAACUGGUUGAAAAAUCAAAUCUGUGUCCUUGGUUGCAUGCUUAGGUCCCAUGCAAGAAAUGGGAAUGAAUUUCAAAACCCUGCCACUGUCACUCGGCCGCAAACGUUGAGAUACUUGGUUUUUAAAUUCUAGUAAAUCCAAAACUCGUAUGAAAUUCAUGAAACUUGGCAUGCUAUCAUGGAGCAGCAUCAACAUGCUGUGGUAAAUUUUUUGUCCCAGUUGGGGCAGGUUUGGGUAUAAGCUUCUCACAAACCAGAGCUUCUCACAACAAGCGUGAUGGUUUCGUUAGGGAACAUGGCACAUUUGGGAACGAAACGAUAUCCGUUGCCUCUUAUUUCUUUCAAAAAAUUUCUAGUGUCAAGAUAGAACAACAGGAGUGUUGUGUUUAAUUUUGGAAUUUUUCGGGGUUCGUUUGGACAUUUUUAUACAUGAACUGGGUUUUCAGCUCAUUUGGAGUUGUGCAGAAUAGGUGGCCUGAUGUAGCUUUUUCAGGUCCAGAAUUGCAGCUGCCGGUAUUCUCCCUCUUUGUGUGAACCUUGCAUAUUAUGAGAGAAAAGGCAUUAUAAUUACUCCAAAAAGCAUUAUUAUGCAUAAAAGCAUUAUAAAUAACAGUAGGUAAACAUGAUGCAAAAUGGACGUAUCAACUACCAUGGUGUUGUUUUUGUGCAGAAAUGAAAGUUCUCGAAAUGGAAUGAAAUAUUUUGGGGAAUUAUCUUGGAAUAUAUAAAAAAUAUUGGAGCCAAGAACCACCGGAGGGGGCCCCCUUGGUGGGCACAAUCCACCAGGGGCGCGCUGAUACGUCCAUUUUGCAUCAUGUUUACCUAUUGGUAUUUACAUUGUUUUUAUGCAUAAUAAUGCCUUUUGGAGUAAUUCUAAUGCCCUUUCUCUCAUAAUAUGCAAGGUUCACACAAAGAGGGACAAUACCGGCAGCUGGAAUUAUGGACCUGAAAAAGCUACGUCAGGCUACCUAUACUACACAACUCCAAAUGAUCUGAAACUUUAUGGAGAUUUUUUAUGGAAUAUAUAAGAAAUAUUGGAGCAAAUAAGUACCAGAAGGGCCCACCAGGUUGGCACAACCCACCUGGGCGCGCCAGGAUGCCCAGGCGCGCCCUAGUGGGUUGUUCCCUCCUUGGCCCACCUCCAAUGCCCCUGUUCUGGUAUAUAAGUCAUUUUGACCUAGAAAAAAAAUAAGGAGAGGACUUUCGGGAUGAAGCGCCACCAUCUCGAGGAAGAACUUGGGCAGGAGCACUUUUGCCCUCCGGAGCAGCGAUUUCGUUGGGGGAACUUCCCUCCCAGAGGGGAAAUCAUCGUCAUCAUCACCACCAACAACUCUCCCAUCUUGGGGAGGGCAAUCUCCAUCCAGAUAUUCGACAUCACCAUCUCCUCUCAAACCCUAGCUCAUCUCUUGUGUUCAGUCUUUGUACCGAAACUAUAGAUUGGUACUUGUGGGUGACUAGUAGUGUUGAUUACAUCUUGUAGUUGAUUACUAUAUGGUUUAUUUGGUGGAAGAUUAUAUGUUCAGAUCCAUUAUUCUAUUUAAUACCCCUCUGAUCUUGAGCAUAAUUAUCAUUUGUGAGUAGUUACUUUUGUUCUUGAGGUUACGGGAGAAAUCUUGUUGCAAGUAAUCAUGUGAACUUGAUAUGUGUUCGAUAUUUUGAAGGUAUGUAUGUUGUGAUUCCCUUAGUGGUGUCAUGUGAAUGUCGAGUACAUGACACUUCAUGAUAUUUGGGCUUAAGGGAAUGCAUUAUGGAGUAGUUAUUAGAUGAUGGGUUGCGAGAGUGAUAGAAGCUUAAACCCUAGCUUAGCGCUAUUCCAUAAUUUGGUUCCAAAAGAUUAAUGCAAUGGUUAGGAUUUAUUCUUAAUACUUUUCUCGUAGUUGCGGAUGCUUGCGAGGGGGUUAAUCAUAAGUAGGAGGUUUGUUCAAGUAAGAACAACACCUAAGCACCGGUCGGCCCACAUAUCAAAUUAUCAAAGUAGCCAACAUAAAUCAAACCAACAUGAUGAAAGUGACUAGAUGAAAUUCCCGUGUACCCUCAGGAACACUUUGCUUAUCAUAAGAGACCGUUUUGGCCUGUCCUUUGCCUCAAAAGGAUUGGGCUAUCUUGCUGCCCUUUUGUUACCGUUAUCGUUACUUGCUCGUUACAAAUUAUCUUGCUAUCAAACUACUCGUUACAUAUAAUUUCAGUGCUUGUAGAGAAUACCUUGCUAAAAACCACUUGUCAUUUCCUUCUACUCCUCAUUCGGUUUAACACUCUUACUUAUCGAAAGGACUAUUAUUGAUCCCAUAUACUUGUGGGUCAUCACAUGCCCAGGUGGGUUGUGCCCACCUAGUGGCCCCGCAGUCCCUAUCUCCAACUCCAUAAAUACCCAUAUUCGGAGAAAAAAAUCUGAGAGGAAGAAUUAUCACGUUUCACGAUACAGAGCCGCCUCCACCUCCUAUUCUUCAUCGGGAGGCCAGAUCUGGAGUCUGUUCAAGGCUCCAGAGAGGGGGAUCGUCGAUCUUCGUCAUCACCAACCCUGCUUCAUCGCCAAUUCAAUGAUGCUCCCCACCGGGAGUGAAUAAUUCCUUCGUAGGAUCACUCGAUGAGAAGUUGGAUGAGAUUCAUCAUGUAAUCGAGUUAGUUUUGUUAGGGCUUGAUCCUUAGUAUCCAUUAUGUUCUGAGAUUGAUGUUGUUAUGACUUUGCAUGCUUAAUGCUUGUCACUUUGGGCCCAGGUGCCAUGAUUUCAGAUCUAAACCAUUUAUGUUUUCAUUAUUAUAUCUAUGUUCUAGAUCUGAUCUUGCAAGUCAUAUUCACCUAUUACAUGUUAUGAUCCAUAAACCCCGGAGUGACACUACUGCAGGAUGCUGCUAACGCGACACUACGAUCAGAGACCCUUCGACGAAACUGUGUGCAAUGCAAUAAUUGCAAACGAUGGUGUAAAAAUCCGUCAAAAAAGGUGCAAAAUGUUUGCGAUGGCGGAUGCAUCAUACAUGGUUCAGACUUUAGUUGCAUGUGUGAUGCAGGGCAUACGGUUCAGUUCAUUUAUCUGUUUGCGACGAGGAGGAACAAAAGAAAAACGGGCAGCUAGAUGAAGGUGUGUGCGAUAUACAACAUACGGUUCACUCGAAUGAAUUGUUUGUGAUUAGGAACACAAAAGAAAUGGUCAGCCAGAUCAAGGUGUGUGCGAUAUACGACAUGCGGUUCACUCGGAUGAACUGUUUGCUUUGAGACAAGAGAACAAAAAUGGUUCAAUAUAACAAGAUGUGUGUGAUAUGCGACAAACAGGUCUGUAAUCAGAAAUGUGUGUGAGGACUGAUAAUAACACAGACAAUUGCUGCUAAUAAGUCAUGUGUGUUGUGGGCAAACACUUGGUGGUAUACAAUUGUCAGCGAUUGAUGAAAUCAUCACCGACAGGUUCCCCUGUAUGGUCUGUGUGCGCUAUCAUUGCACACAGAACAACAACAUAUGUACUCCAUACACCGAUUGAACAUCCAAUUACAUAUGUGGCUAGUACACACAUGACCUUUGCACGCACCAAAGUACGUUCCAAAAUACCUUGGAAACUCAAAUAAUGUAUAAAAAGGCAAAACGAAUAGUGAAUAAUUUCAUAUUUUUAGGAUGACGCUACAAUAGUUGCAUGUUGCCUCUGUAAAAUAAAUCAAGGUAGGAAGAGACAUCGUAUGUCCUUUCGCACACAUAGGUGACAAGGUCCCUCUCGGAACCAUGAGCCUUUUUGAGAGAAGCUCUGGUUUGUAAGAAGUUUGUACCAAAACUUGUCCCAAAUUGGACUAAUUUUUUACCACAUCAUGUUGGUGCUAUGACAUAACACCAUGCCAAGUUUCAUGAUUUUGAGGCGAGUUUUGGAUUUACAGUAAUUUUAAAAAUAGGUUUCUCAAUGUUAAUGUCGAGUCGGCACCACCCUGGAUAGGCUUUUUCCUCAUGGGUCCCAAAUGAUAAAUCCAAAUUUGUCACUACCAUGCAGCUUUUCUUAUUAAGAAUUACAACCCAUUUGGUGUGCAAGCUGAAAAUAAGUUUGUGGGUGCUGGUGGGCGCUAAGAACUUGCGGUUAUGUAAUGAACAAACAUCUCAAUGAUCUCAUGAGAGUGAUGUUUUUCCCUAUGUAGUGAAUGCUUAUAAUAUUUAUGUCUUAAUUAAAGAAAUGGUAAGCCAUUGGCCUAGUAUGAAAGAAAAUAUGGGUCAAAGCCGAGUUGAAAAGGGCAACAAUAUCUAAAUCCAGCUAACAAACAGUAAAAAAGCACGAGGAUUAAUUGCUCAUCAGGUUUAGACAAAAUCCAGAUUGAACAUGACAAUGACAUCUAACUCAACCAAAGUUUUCGGCAGUCACAAUCAAAUGGACCGGUCUUAUCCAUAAAAUCAAGAUCCCGGCCCAGAAAUUCUAUUGGUCCAUGAUGACAAGCUCUUGUAAACAGAAGCCGAGCACGAUCAAAAGUCCUUAGGUCCACCUGAAACUUCUUUUUAUGCUGCUCUACACUUGCAGACGUAAGAAAUUUGUUUUCGAAAACCUUAAUCCUCACGGACAAUAGUGCCCUCGCAUUCAACAUGAAGAAUGUGACAAAGCUAGUGUUUGCAUUUUUGGAUGCAUAUCCUUCCAGUGUUACUGUCUUCAAACGAAUGUCAUGAGAUAUGAGAAAAUACUGGUGCUUCUUGAACCAUAGAUUGGUUAUAACUUCUCGUCCAUGUGUUAGUGCCUAAAUAGAGAUGAAGAUUGAAAAUAGUUAAUGUUUAAAAAAGAUUAUGUUGAAAGAGUGAUAGUUGAACGAUUAAUUGUAGUACAUUAUAUAUGGGCUUUCAAUGUGUGUGAAAUCACCACCUUUAUAUACAAAUUCUCCAGACAUGGAAAGCAUUGUAGCAAGCCAAUAAUCAUGUUCAAAUCAAAACACCACAUACUAAUAUGUAAGGUCUUGACAGAACCCACCACCACUGAUAUGAUGGACAAGCUCUUCAUUGAGCAUAGAACAUAAUAUUAGUACCAAAAGUGUACUCCAAGAUGAUACUUAACUUAUGCGCACAAAUGAAAAAAGAAGAUUACAAAAGUUUAUGUGAAUAAUAUACAAUACCUCAAUAGUUGUGGAGACAAACACCAUCUUGAACCAUCUAAAAGGAUCACAAAUUGCACCCAAGAUCUCCAGUUUAGGCGCAGAGACUACAAUUAUUUGCGAAGGUACUAUAACAUAAUCAAGGAUCGACCUUUGAAGUGAAGGGGCAUCUUCGAUGAUGAGAUCAUGCCCAAAUAAACAAAUUCUCAUGCUUACAAGGUGGGGUGACUUUAUUUUGAGACAACGGAUAUGAAUUUCCAUUCCAAAAACAAGCAGCAAGCGCUCCAGGGCAGGGCAGCUGGAGUGGGUGAUGCUGUCCAGUGCGGCCUCUAACAUAUCAACCGCCACAAGCGCAAGUUGUUUUAGUAGUGGGAGUCGAAGCAUUUGUACCAUAUUGUCUGCUAGAUGGCACCAGGCAAAGGUGGUGGUGUGAAGAGAGGAGGAAAACCACGAGAUGGACAUCGGUGGUGAGGGCAUAGAUACAUCGGUUCGUUGUAUGUUACAUACAUAGUCAUGGUAGAACUCAAGCUGAUGGAGUUUAUCGAAUUGACGGGAUGUCAGCCAGGCGGCCACCAUGUAGGGUAUGUCCAGUAGGUAGCAUGCCGAGAUGCAGAUGCGUUGAACGGAGCCCUCGUGGGAGGAGAUGAUGGCUCCGGGGAGUUCAAAAUCAUCAUCGACAGAUAUCUGACGACAGUCGAGAUUAAGAGGCGCGGUGCACCACAGAGUGCACCACCAAGAUGCGAGGACUUGUGUGCGACAACCAUCCUUGGUGGGGAGAAGGGAGAUGAUCUCCCCAAGGAUGCCGUCCGAGAGAUUGCUGAUGCGGUCCGCCGAAGAUUCUACUGGUUCCUCAGGUCCAAGGGGGUCCCUUCUAGCCGCACAGCUGGGUCCAAGAUAUACAUCCAGCGCUGGCGCUGGCCGGAGCCUCAUCUGUGUACAUACCAAUCUAAAAGAAAAAAUGGCAUAAUAUGUAGGACAUUCAAAAUCAAUUCUCAAGAUCAGGAAGAAAAAAGGGACAAACAUAUAUGUAGGACAUUCAAAAUCGAUUCUCAAGAUCUAGCCACGAAUUAUUAGCAUGCAAGCUAACCCUAGUCGGAUUAUUAGCAAAAAUUAUUUGUCCAGAACAAACAAUUAAUCACUAACUCUAUACGGAUAACAUUCAAACAAUCAAUACACUACGUGCAUCUAACAGAUCUUAAUUACUCUGAUUUCAUGGACUAAGAGAACAUAACCAUAUGAUUUGUAUUCCAGAAAAAUUAUAGAGGGGCGGGGGGGAUUAAUCAGAGAAAACACAUGGCAUGUUUACCACACAAAUGGGUAUAUAGAUGACUAACCGGCUUUCCGUCGAAGUCGCAGUCGUUGACGGAGUUGCUGUUGACCUCCGGCUCCAGCUGGGGGGCACGACGGCGCCGACGAAUUCAAGGUCGUGAUGCUGCCCGCGCGAGACCUCGGCGGCGGCGACGGAAACCUCUAUGCCCAGCUUCACGCGUUGCACGGGUGCUUCACCAGCCCCGGCGUCGCCACUCCCUCUGAUGGUGCGCUUCGACGACAUCCUCAUACACUCCAGAGUCCACACGUUGGUUACCAUUCUGGACUGGGGGUGCGGCCACCUAUUAUAGCCGGCGGCUUGGGCGUGCCAUCGACAAGUUUACAAAGUGGCCGGAAGUGACUGCCGUGAGAAAGGUGACUGCUCAGUCAGCUAUCAAGUUCUUGAAAGAAUUGGUGUUUCAUUUUGGAGUUCCGGCAAGGAUCAUCACCGACAACGGCACCCAAUUCACGAGCCACGCCUUCAUGCAAUAUGUUCGUACCCUUGGAUGCAAGAUCUCAUUCGCCUCUGUGGCACACUCCCGGAGCAAUGGACAAGCUAAGAGGGCGAACGCUGAAGUGCUAUGUGGACUCAAGACAAGAACUUUCGGUACGCUGUAGAAGCACGGCAGGCGGUGGAUCGAGGAGCUACCGGUAGUUCCCUCGUCCCUCAGAACGACGCCUAACCGAGCUACCGGGCAGACUCCCUUCUCCCUGUUCUAUGGGGCAGAAGCAGUUAUCCCCAUGGAACUCAUUUACGGGCCCCCUCGAGUGCUUGCCUACGAUGAAGUAGCACAACAUCAGCAUCAGCUUGACGAUGCUGUACUACUUUAGGAGAACCGUCUCUGGGCUGCUACGCAUGUUGCACGCUACCAGCAAGCCCUGCGUCGCUAUUACAGCCGCAGGGUUCAUGCUCGGUGUUUUGAGGAAGGUGACCUUGUCCUUAGGCGCGUUCAGUCCGCCAAGGGUACAAACAAGCUAUCACCAAAGUGGGAAGGCCCUUAUCGGGUGGUACAAGUCACCAGACCUGGCGCAGUCCGUUUGGAGACCGGAGAUGGCAGUUAAUUGCAAAACUCAUGGAAUAAUGAGCAUCUCCGCAAGUACUACAUGUAAGGCGCGAGGCUGUCGGGAACUUCCCGGCAGCCACCCUUUUGUAUAGGCCUUGCCUCAGCUGCAUGUAACCCCUUGUACAAAGCCGGGGCGAUGACCCCGUGCAAGAGAAAAUAUAGAAGUGCUAUAAGGGGCCCCCAACUAAGAUUGCAUGCAUGCAUGAGCACACCAAGAUCACUACAUAAGCAUUUGCAUAUGCAUAUAGAUAGGAUCGCAUCCUGCAUUCAUUCUCAUCUACAUGAAGUUGUAGGUUCCUGCCAUGAACUUGGCUGCGACAAGGGACGAGAAGAUUGCACGAUACAGCGAUCCCCGACAAACAGAUAAGUUUUACCUCUUGUCCAUUAGUGUUCUGUAAAGCUAUAACUUUGCAUGGUCUCUUUUGAAACUUAGGUGCUCCCAUCCAUGACUCGAACGAUGCUUCGGUCAGGAUGGUUGCUGUGGCCUUUAGUAAAAAGGAGUUGGCGAGGGGCUGGCCCCUCUGUCUGUUCCCCGGCAGACGCAGCUCUCCGGUAGACAAAGAGGGUGCCGGAAGGAUAUCCUGCCGGGGAAAACUCGUUUAUUUUCAUUAAAGAGGCGCUCCACCUCUGCAUGGACAUACACAUGCACGGGUUCCCGGCAAGGUUCAUCUUUUUCAUUCAUAUGCUAAUACAAGUACAAGCAUUACAGAACACAAAGAUGGACUCGAAGGAUUACAUUAUUUGAAUUAAAAUUUGGUGAUUGCCUACAAGUUUAAGAUUGAAAAAAGACAAGUGCCCCGUUACACCUUUGCCCCUGUCCAUCUCCUACAGGAAGAGGUCACGUGCAUAGCUGGGAUUCGGCGCCUCCCCAAGAUCAGGACGGAGCCGCUCCCCAGCAGGGAGGAAGAAACCGGAGGGCAGGCGUGGAUGGUGACGCUGCCAGAGGACCAAAUGGGAGGCACGGAGUGACCAGCAAACACGACUCAUCGGAACGGUCGUCCCCGUUCUUGACGCAUCGUGGGUUGCCGUUGCCGUCCGCAUCACUACCACCUGAAGACCUCGGCGCGGCCGCCACGCCAGGCACCAUGCUCUCUAAGCCCUUCCACAGAGAGCAUGGUCGUCCCCGGGAGCCCUAAUGUUGGAAGUCACCGCACGUCCUGAAGAUGUGUGAGAAAGCAAGGAGCCUUCCUGUCCAACGAGGAAACUGUGCCCAUGAGGGGCCAGAUUCGCCCCGUUAGCGGCGAAUCUCUCCUACGGCUCCUCUCCGAGGUCGCAAAAUGAAGAAAAGUGGGGAGCGAUCGACUACCACACGUCGUGCCCAUCUCAAGCUGCGAAAUGGUGUUCGUCGCGUCCCCUCCCACUGAAGUCAAGGCCAUGGGCGACCCGGCGGCAAGCACGCCGGGGUUGCCACGCCCGACGUCGGUGCCGCAUCGCCCGAACCUUUCUCUCAGACUCAAGGGAGAUCCCAAGCAGGAGCCUGGGGGCUGGCCCCAGGCUCUUCUCUUCGACAUCACCAGCGGAAGCAGAGAACAUGAGAAGAAGAGGGGGAACACAAAGAUGGAUGCCUCUUCUCUCCUCCGGCCCCUCCCUUUUAUAGGUCGGGCGGGGAAGGGCAGCCGCUCCAUCAACGGGUGUCCACCGCCCUCCUCCACAAAUUCAAGGUGGGCGGACCCUCUCCAAGAUGCUCCCCCGUGCCAUGCGCCUCCGUUACAUACCCCGCGCGAUGCAUGCAUCAUACGUGGCCAAGGAUAAGGGCGCGCCGUGGGAAGAGUAAAUUGGCAGUUUCUACCUCGUGCGUUAAAGUCAUUCACGGGCCAUCAUUAGAGCAGCCCCACCACUAUUGGCUUUACACCACGCGCGGGGAAACCAAAAACUGGCCCGAAAUCAAGGCUAAUGAAGCAGAAAUUGAAACCUCAAGGGGCCAACCCCUUCAGCAACCCUGCCUGUGCACUUAUUAGGCCCUAGCCCGACAAUGCUGAGCGGCGCAUUCGGGGUAGGCCCGGGGGCUUCCGUCGGUGCAACAAACCCUUGGUCCGUUGGCAGACUGUGCAUAGGCACAAGAACGAGAUUGAGGCACCAACUUAACUGGGAGAUUGAAGGACCAAAAGAUUUGAUGAACCAACAUGCAGUUCAGAGAGUCCAAGAUCAGGCCAGAGGAGCAAGAUAUCGGCAAGAGAAGCGCUUGGCGAGGCCACCACCAGAAGCAGGCAACCCAAGCACACCGACAAGGUCUGCCGGGGCUCGCGGGGGCAUAACCACCCCACCAACCACUCAGGCACGACCCACAUCGUCAAUGAGUGCAGUGUCGAGGUGUAAGGUGAUUAAGUGGCAGCCAUUCGCCACAUGGAAACCAUUUCCUAUAGAAGAAACCCACAGAUGACACCCGUCCUGCGAUGUGUCAAGAGAACAAGCGCGGAGCUGGCAAGAUAGCCAUGCAACUAGUGUUGUGACACUAAGUGGUGCAUUUAAUGCACCCUGUCAGCCUACAGAGUUAGGUAUGAUAGCACUAUUUGCUAUCAUAUCGGUGGAUAAUGACUACUUUGCCAUUGUCGCAACCCCUGAAACUAUAAAAGGAGGCCCAUGGCACCCGUAGGAGGGGUUAGAAGGUUAUAAAGUUGACGAACCCAUACUACCAUAUGUGCGUACUCACUACAGCCCUACGGCAACCCCUGUCGGGCAAGUGUACUGCAUUCCACCAUCCUCAUUCCACCAUCAAUCCACCAAAGCAGGAGUAGGGUCUUAUGCCUCACGGCAGCCUGAACCUAGGUAAAUCGCUUGUGUGCUCUCUGCCGUGCUGCCGUGCCUUGGUCUGCUCUUCAUGCAAUGCGACGUCCCCUUGCCGAACCAGCAAGGGGCCUCCUGGUCCCAUAGGUGGCCGUGGAUAUCCCACGAUAAUAUUCUAUAUACAUACGUGUCAUAACCUCGCUCCAUGUGGGAACUUUUCAGUUCCUAAGGCAUGUUCCACAUCAAAAUUGCAUAUUAUAUUGGUAUUCAAACAUCACGCAAUACCAUGCACGCAAUACCAUGCAUAUGUGUCAUAACCUCGCUCCAUGUGACAGUUCCAUCCAUGGGCAUGCGAGGUUGUCCUCCAUCACUUUGACCUAGUAAGAGAGAGGUUAAUUUGAUCAUCAAGGAAUGAUUCUUUUUUGGUUUGUGCUAUAUAGUAGAAGUACAUAUAUACCACGCGUCGAAUGGGGACGUACAUAUAGCACAUGCCACACAUCAUCAACCUCACACUCUCUGUGGGGACUUUUCAGUUUCCUAUAUACGUGGUGCCACAUCAAAAUUGUGCAUUACGUAUUCGAACAUCACACAAAUAGCUCUUUAGGCCACAUGCAUGCAUACUAUGGUACGUAGUUCUAUAUAGGAUGAUCACUCGCGUGCGACGUACACUUCGCUUAUGUGUUGGGCCCGCGAGUUUGUUGUCCAUAACUUUGACCCAGCGAGAGAGAGGUAUGUGUUUGAUGAACAAGGAGGAUUAAUACUUUUAGGGAUGUGUUACUAGGUGUAUAUAUAGUAUGUGUCGAGGGGGGGGGUGACCAGCUUGGUCCAUCACUUUCACCGACAGCGCGAGAGAGGUUAACUAAUUUGACUUAGGAGGGGAUUAUUUUUUGUUUUGUCUUGAUAUAGAUCAUGAUGUGAGAUUACAUAUAUAUAAUAGCACAUCUGUACACAUGAAUCCAUCCCGCUGGACUGAAGGGGGGGAGCACACGACACAUCAUGAAUGACCUCUUGCUCUUUGUGGGGACCUCUACGAUUUCAACGCAUGCACCACAUCAAUGGUGUGCAUUGGGUUGGGUAUUCAACACAUAUGCAUGCACUCCAUCAAUAUGUUCGGGACACACACAUGCAAUAAUGGUUGUCUUUGGACACACUCUCACUCGCUUGGUUAUGGGCGGCAAGCCUAUAUAUAUUCGUGGGCCCACGUGGACGUCCAUCAUUUCAACCAACGUCGAGAAAGGUUGCCAGGGUGGAUAUAUUCUUCUUCUUUGCUUCGAGUUAGCGUAUAGUAGGUCGACCCAUUCCAAGCCUAAUUAAGUUUGAACGCAUGCUACACAUUGUGAACCCUCGCUCGGUGUGGGGAUUUUACGGUUUCCAAAGCAUGGCGCCACAUCAAAUUUACGCAUUGGGUAUUCAAACACCACACACACCACUUCCAUAUACAUACUUGGGCCACAUGCACAUAAUGGGUUUGUCUUCAUACAAUAAUCCCUCGCGAGGUUAUCGGCGACAAGCUAGCCAAUUUUACGGGGCCGUGUGGAUGUCCAUCACUUUGACCAACAACGAGCGGGGAGAGGUUGUACGAUCAAGUUGGAUUCUGCUUGGUCCGUGUUAUAGUAUGUCUUGGUAAGAUGCCCUCCCCCCGAUGUUUGUGUGUCUGUGUGUGUGUGGCGGGGGGGGGGCUACUUCGCGCUACCUGCAACCUCCAUGGGGUCAGGGAUGUCCGGUUAAUUUGCGAGGCACACGUGCCACAUCAAAAGCUAUGAAUGGUAGUUAAAUAUCACACACCACACCCUUUUCAUACAUAUAGUAGGGCCACCCACAUGUGGUUCGUAUGUGGUCUGACCCUUCUCGUGCCACAAGCACACAUUUGUGGGUCGACACACAGUCCACCUUUGUCGGGAAGAGAAAGGGGAAGUUUGACCAUAUAUACAUAAACACUAUUCUGAUCACGAGAUCAGAAUAAUAUUCUGAUCACAACCUGAACUUCCUGAGUUACACAACCUGAUCUUCCCCGAGUGCUAGGUUGAACUUCAGCUGAAAAGUGUCCAAAUGGGGCUUGCGAUAUACCAUUGGAAAGCUAUGGACACAAGUAUCAUGACCCAAGUUAAAUUUUUGGCAAAAUGUAAGCGGUUUAAGAGCAGUUUUGUAAACCAUUUUUUCUUCAUACAAAAAACAUGAACCAUAUUUUCGAUUGCAUUUCUAAACCGUUUACCAGAAUGAGGCAAAUAAUAUGGAGUUGGAAAGCUGCUGCAAAACCGCUCCUUCCACAUGUUAACAGUUUUCUCUAAUUCCCUAUUGUUAAAGAGUAAUUUGUAAAAUCGUAAAAUUUCGCAAACUGAACAGCCGAGUUCAUAUUUUUGAUGUCAUUUCUAAACGGCUAAUCCAAUUAAGGCAAAUGAUAUGGCAUUGGAAAGCUCAUGAAAAUGCACUACUUUUACAUGUUGAAAGUUUUUUUUAAUAAUUUUGAACGGUUUAAAAGUAAUUUAGAAAACGGUACAAGUUUCACCGAGUUCGUAUUUUUGAGCUAUUUUUUUAACCAUACACCCGAAUGUAGCAAAUGAUAUGGCAUUGGAAAGCUUGAAAAAAUUCGAAACUUUUUGUUAUAUAUUGUUUCUCCCAAUUCUAUAUGGGUUUAAGUCAAUUUUGAAAAUGGCUAAAAACAUAUUUUUGCCGUAAUUUGUACAAACUUUAUCAGAAUGGGGCCAAUAAUAUACCAUUGAAAAGCUACAGAAAAUGCGAUUUUUUUUCAUGUUGACGGUUUUCUCUCAUUCCUAGCCGUUUUCAAGUAAUUUUGAAAAUGGCGAGAUCGUGCGUUCUACCUUUGUUGCAAAACAGAUUCUCUGAAAAUGCACUGCGUGAAGAACUUGAACUUCUCGGCAUGUCUACCUGAACUUCACUAUGUUUUUCACGUGUUUUUUUCUUGCAGGUCUCCAUCCACUGACCGGAAUUGAGCAAGUGAUAUCCAGAUGGAAAGCUGCUGUAAACAUGCAACUUUUCCAUGUUGAUCAUUUUUCAUCUGAAAUUCAUUCAGUGUAGUAGUUGAACUUCCUACUGUUUUCACGUUGAACUUCUGUGAUGUAUUUUCGUUUGUACUUUUCCCAUCCAUUCGUCAGUCGUACACAAAUGAUAUUUUUUUGUACAAACCUCUCCCACAAUAAUUUUUAACUUUCUCUGACCCAUGACUUGAACUUAUAACAACAAAAAUUUUAGUCUUUGCUUUUUUAUUCUUUUUAAUACAAAAUGCACACCGUGUAGUACAUGAACUUCUGGCAGUUAUCAAUCUGAAUUUCUCUUGGUUACGUGAGAAUAUAUGAUUUUUUUAUGAAUUUUAAUCUGAAUUUCUUAAUCCUUUUUUAUGAAUUUUAAAGCGCUCUAUUUUGAAAAGUUGAACUUCUUGUUAUUUUAUUUUUGAACUUCUUGCUUCCAUUCUUUAAUAACGAGGAAAAUCUGAGUUUUCUAUAAUCAUCGAACUUCUCCAUUUUUUUAAUAUGGACUUCCUGGUUUUUUUCUUAAUCUUUUUUAUGAAAUUUUGAAGCACUUUAUUUUAAAAAUUAAAGUUCUUGUUAUUUCAUUUUUGAAUUUCUUGUUUCCAUUCUUUAGUAACAAGGAAAAACUGAGUUUUCUAUAAUCAUCGACCUUCUCCUUCUUUUUAAUUUGGACUUCGUGGUUUUUUUAUUUUAGUAAUGAGAAAAAUCCUGAACUUCCUGAGUUACACAACGUGAAUUUCCCUCUAUAGGAACCCGACCUUCGGGCUAUCUUCGCAACCAUGUCUCCCCGCGCGAAUUUUUCUGGUCAGUCGUGUUCUAUGUGAUGUAAGUGUUAUCUAAAACAGUUUUCAUCAACUAAAUGCCCGUUUUAAAUAGGAAUCUCGCUCGUUGGCGGUUUUUGCUCUCGGGUCGUGAUGAACAUGUGUCUGUUGCAAUUUUACUGCCUGAGUUGUUCGACCUAAACUUCCCCCAGUGCUAGGUUGAACUUCCGCAUCCCUAAUGGGGCUUACGAUAUACUUUUGGAAAGCUAUGGACACGAGUAUCAUGAACCAAGUUAAUUUUUUGGCAAAAUGUAAGCCAUUUUAGAGAAGUUUUGAAAACUGUUUUUUCUUCAUACAAAAAACAUGAACCGUAUUUUCAAUCCAAUUUCUAAACCGUAUAUCGGAAUGAGGUAAAUAAUAUGGCGUUGGAAAGCUGCUGCAAAUCCGCUCCUUCCACAUAUUGAAUGUUUUGUCUAAUUCCAUAUGGUUAAAGGGAAAUCUGAAAAAUCAUAGAAUUUUGUAAACCGAAUAGUCGAGUUCGUAUUUUUGACGCCAUUUCUAAACGGCUAAUCUAAUUGAGGUAAAUGAUAUGGCCUUGAAAAGCUUAUGAAAAUGCGCUACUUUUUCAUGUUGAUUUUUUUUAUAAUUUUGAACGGUUUAAAAGUAAUUGAGAAAAUGGUACAAAUUCCACCGAGUUCGUAUUUUCAAGUUAAUUUUUUAACCGUAUGUCUGAAUGCAGAAAAUGAUAUGGCGUUGGAAAGCUUGUGGAAAUGCGAAACAUUUUGGUAUAUAUUGUUUCUCCCAAUUCCUUACGGUUUUAAGUCAAUUUUGAAAAUGGCUAAAAACAUUUUUGGCUGUAAUGUCUACAAACUUUAUCGAAAUGGGGCAAAUAAUAUUCCGUUGAAAAGAUACGGAAAAUGCAAAACCUUUUCAUGUAGAUGGUUUCCUCUGAUUCCUAGCCGUUUUCAAAUAACUUUCAAAACAUCGAGAUCAUGCAUUCUGCCUUUAUCGCAAAACAGAUUUUUCAAAAAUGCACCGCAUGAAGAACUUGAACUUCUCGACAUGUCUACUUGAACUUUACUCUGUUUUUCACGUGCUUUUUAAUUCAAACCGCACUGUUAUUUUAAUUUGAACUUUUAGUUUUGUAAGAAUGGGGAAAAUCAUUUUUUAUAAACUCUUUUAAAAAUGCUCCUCUUUUUAAUUUCAACUUCUUUGAUUUUUUUACAAAUGGGGAAAAUUUGUGUUUAUAAAGAUUUUUGAAGCACUAUUUUUAUUUGAACUUCUUUAGGGAAUUUUGUGUGUACACCCAUAACAAUUUCUAUGAACUCUUCAAUUUACUAAAUUUGAACUUCGAGAAUUAAUAUUAUUUUGUAGGUGAUGCUUUUGUUUUCUACAUGCUAUAUGAAGAUCGCACAACUCCUUAUUUUAAUAUGAAAUUCUUGGUUUAUUCUUAGAUAAAAUAUGAUUUUUAAAUAAGCAUCAAUUUUUUUUCUUAAAAUUGAACUUCGUACUUCUAUUUUUUUUAGAAACGGAAAGAUUUUGUGUUUUCCGUAUACAUUGAACUACUCCCUUAUUUUAAUUUGAACCUCUUGAUAUUAUGUCUUUAGUAACAAGGAAAAUCUGAGUUUUUAAUAAAUAUUGAACUGCACUAUUUUUGUAAUUCGGACUUCUUGGUUUAUUUCUUUUAGUAGUGGAAAAGCACAAGUUUUGUCAUAAAUAUGGAACCGGUCCAUUUUUAAAAUUGAACUUCUAGAGUUUUUAAAUUUAGAAAUGGCGAAAAUCCAUUUAAUGAUUUUUGAACUCUUCUAUUUGUCAAAAUUUGAACUUCUUGCCUUUUAAUUUUGAACUUCCUAUUUUCAUUCCUUAAUAACGAGGAAAAUCUGAAUUUUGUAUAAACAUCAAACUGCUCCUUUUUUAACAUUAUUUUAAUUUGGACUUCCUAGGUUUAACAUGAAAAAAAGAUUGUACAAAGAUUUUGGUUGUUUUUUGUUUUGUUUUCUCAUUGUCUCCAAUUUUUGUUCCAUGACCUUCCCUUUGAUUUUUAAUCAUUAACUUGAACUCCCCACAAAUCUUUUUUCCGUGGAGUUGAAUAUAGAUACUGAUCUAUUUGAAACAACACUUACUUGUGAGAAUAUGCCCACUUAAAUCUGAAUCCAGUGAACAAUAUUAUUUUAAUCUAUCUUCUUCUCAUCAUUUAGUACUACUCCGCACAUUGUUUCAUAGGUGUUGUCGCUCACGGGCAUUUAGCACAAGCACCUAAUGUUCUAUUACAAGAAACGGCCAAAUGAAAAUCAACAAAUUAUUUGCAGCACACACUUUGUUGUAUACCACAUACUUAUCCACCAAAAACCUAGACGAAUGUUCUUUAGCACAAACUGUAAAAAUGAGCUAUCAAAAAUGCACACAGAUGUUCAAUAGCAGUACGUGUAGCCGUCCAAGUAUAGCCACAGCAGCAGCCAUCCAAGUACAACCACAAUAGCAACCGUCGAACAAACAAAUUACAGUAGUAGCUCGCCUCCCAUACAGUGAGCAUACACAGAUCGAACUAAAGAGGCUAGCCAGACCGAACUUCACACGCGGCAGGCCCACACCAUACGCGCUGCACCCGCAUGAGCAAGAGACGCCGCUGGGAUCCCACGCACCUCCUACGCACCUCCUCUGCUGUGCCGGCAUGCGCAACCAUUGUCUUGGGGCUGGCGCUGCAGAGAGCCUUACUUUGGGAAGGUCAAGGUGGCCCUAGUGAGAAGGACGACCGCCACUAAGUUCAUUUUUUUUUGCAACU